rnacentral:rRNA from 1 species
GUGGGGAAUAUUGGACAAUGGGGGCAACCCUGAUCCAGCCAUGCCGCGUGAGUGAUGAAGGCCUUAGGGUUGUAAAGCUCUUUCGUCGGGGAAGAUAAUGACGGUACCCGAAGAAGAAGCCUCGGCUAACUCCGUGCCAGCAGCCGCGGUAAGACGGAGGAGGCUAGCGUUGUUCGGAAUUACUGGGCGUAAAGCGUGCGCAGGUUGUGAGUUAAGUCUGAUGUGAAAGCCCGGGGCUCAACCUCGGAUGUGCAUUAGAUACUGGCUCGCUGGAGGUUGGAAGAGGAGAGUGGAAUUCCCAGUGUAGAGGUGAAAUUCGUAGAUAUUGGGAAGAACACCAGUGGCGAAGGCGGCUCUCUGGUCCACACCAGACACUCAUGCACGAAAGCGUGGGGAGCAAACAGGAUUAGAAACCCGUGUAGUCC